AGUAGUUUGAUCCUGGCUCAGAACACGCUGGCGGCGCGUCUUAAGCAUGCAAGUCGAGCGGUAAGAUUGGUGCUUGCACUAAUCCUAGAGCGGCGGACUGGUGAGUAACGCGUGGGUGACGUACCUUUGUGACGGGGACAGCUCCUAGAAAUAGGAGAUAAUACCGGAUACGCUGCAGCAUGUCAGAGGUGCUGCAGGAAAGGAUCUUUUGAUUCGCACAGAGAGCGGCCCGCGUACUAUUAGCUAGUUGGUGAGGUAACGGCCCACCAAGGCGACGAUAGUUACCCGGCCUAAGAGGGUGAUCGGGCACAUUGGGACUGAGAUACGGCCCAGACUCC
rnacentral:rRNA from 1 species